rnacentral:rRNA from 1 species
UACGAGGGGGGCGAGCGUUGUUCGGAAUUAUUGGGCGUAAAGGGCGCGUAGGCGGUGCGGUAAGUCACCUGUGAAACCCCCUGGCUCAACUGGGAGCUUGCAGGCGAAACUGCCGUGCUGGAGUGUGGGAGAGGUGCGUGGAAUUCCUGGUGUAGCGGUGAAAUGCGUAGAUAUCAGGAGGAACACCUGUGGCGAAAGCGGCGCACUGGACCACAACUGGCGCUGAGGCGCGAAAGCUAGGGGAGCAAACAGG